GAUGAACGCUGGCGGCGUGCCUAAUACAUGCAAGUCGAGCGAACAGACGAGGAGCUUGCUCCUCUGACGUUAGCGGCGGACGGGUGAGUAACACGUGGAUAACCUACCUAUAAGACUGGGAUAACUUCGGGAAACCGGAGCUAAUACCGGAUAAUAUAUUGAACCGCAUGGUUCAAUAGUGAAAGACGGUUUUGCUGUCACUUAUAGAUGGAUCCGCGCCGCAUUAGCUAGUUGGUAAGGUAACGGCUUACCAAGGCAACGAUGCGUAGCCGACCUGAGAGGGGGAUCGGCCAAACGGGAACUGAGACACGGUCCAGACUCCUACGGGAGGCAGGAGUAGGGAAUCUUCCGCAAUGGGCGAAAGCCUGACGGAGCAACGCCGCGUGAGUGAUGAAGGUCUUCGGAUCGUAAAACUCAGUUAUAGGGAAGAACAAAUGUGUAAGUAACUAUGCACGUCUUGACGGUACCUAAUCAGAAAGCCACGGCUAACUACGUG
rnacentral:rRNA from 1 species